GGAGGUAUGGUUCAAAUCGUAGAGUGCCUACUUGGCAGGCAUGAAGCCCUGAGUUCUAAUCCCAGUACCACCA
rnacentral:tRNA from 1 species